GACUCGGUGGCGGAUGGUCCGCGUCCACGACACAUAUUUGUGUGGGCAGCAUUCGCUGUGGAAGUCGCCUGUUCGAAUCAGGCCCGAGUCA